rnacentral:rRNA from 1 species
UACGGAGGAUGCGAGCGUUAUCCGGAUUUAUUGGGUUUACAGGGUGCGUAGGCGGACGGUCAAGUCAGCGGUAAAAAUGCGGUGCUCAACGCCGUACAGCCGUUGAAACUGACGGUCUUGAGUGGGCGAGAAGUAUGCGGAAUGCGUGGUGUAGCGGUGAAAUGCAUAGAUAUCACGCAGAACGCCGAUUGCGAAGGCAGCGUACCGGCGCCCAACUGACGCUGAAGCACGAAGGCGUGGGUAUCGAACAGG